GCCUGACCUUUCUAUUGUAGGUGUUGGGCGGUUGGCGGUGAGUUCCUCUAGAAUGGUGGGCGGGCUGCAAGGGCCAGGGAGCCAGAGCUUUUCUAAUUUCUCGAACGAUGUCCUCGGGGAGCCUAACUGGAGGGCGGCGGGAGGCUGCGUCCACGCGGGCCUCGGGGCGGGCGCCGUGGCCUUGUGUCCGAGUUUGGGGGCCGAGGCCCGAGCACCGCGUGCGCCUUCGUCCGGCCGGGCAGCCGCCGUCUCGGGACCCCUGACCCCGGGCUCGCCGCUGGGAGUGAGCACCCCCCGAGAGAACUAGCUGCCAGAGUCUGCCCUAAAUGCACGUCCUAAUCCUUGUUUCAGAGGGCAGACACACUCGCUUUUGGAGACGGGAGCGCAGCAUCGCUACCCGAGGUUAAGAGCCAGUUUGGGUUGCAAGUUAGUGAAGGGUGGCCAGCGCGUGAUCACUGACAGCUGAGGAUGGGAGCCCAAGCGCUGGCCUGCUCCGAGGUUUUAAGCACUGAAGAGUGGGGUCGGCGCAGCAGAGUUCUAAAGCGGGCGGCAGUGGCAGCAGCACCGCAGCCCAAGAAAAGGCUAUGCUGCAGCAGGGGCAGAAUUUGAAAUCCAAAGGACCAGGGGCGGCCAUCAACUUGGACCCUGAAAACCUAGGCUCCCACAUUUGGUGUAGAAACACUCACCUUGUACUGAGUAUCAGAGGGACAUUCUCACCAACGAGAGAGCCAAGAAAUGGAUUUGGCAACCUUUUUCUGGGACCGCGCGGACUGGCACUUCUGGUGUCAUUAAAUUCAUGAGUGUUCUUGUAUCGUCCCUUAACCAAAAGGAGCUUUUGUACUUUUAAAUAUUGUAUAAAUGCGUUCUUGGGUGAGAGCCUGAGGUUUUUGAACUGGAAACUUCCAGAAAUUUCUAUCUCCAUGCAGUUAACCAUAAACUGUGUAAUAAACGUAUGGUCUUUGGUA